rnacentral:rRNA from 1 species
AACGUAGGAGACAAACGUUAUCCGGAGUUACUGGGCGUAAAGGGCGUGCAGGUGGUCUGUUAAGUCUGGCGUGAAAGCUCCUGGCUAAACCGGGAGAGGUCGUUGGAUACUGGCGGACUAGAGGACGGUAGAGGCGUGUGGAAUUCCGGGUGUAGUGGUGAAAUGCGUAGAGAUCCGGAGGAACACCAGUGGCGAAGGCGACACGCUGGGCCGUACCUGACACUGAGGAGCGAAAGCGUGGGGAGCAAACAGG